UACUGAGGGUGCAAGCGUUAUCCGGAUUCACUGGGUUUAAAGGGUGCGUAGGUGGGUAGGUAAGUCAGUGGUGAAAUCCCCGAGCUUAACUUGGGAACUGCCGUUGAUACUAUCUAUCUUGAAUAUCGCGUAGGUAAGCGGAAUAUGUCAUGUAGCGGUGAAAUGCUUAGAUAUGACAUAGAACACCAAUUGCGAAGGCAGCUUACUUCACGAUUAUUGACACUGAGGCACGAAAGCGUGGGGAGCAAACAGG
rnacentral:rRNA from 1 species